rnacentral:rRNA from 1 species
AGCUCCAAUAGCGUAUAUUUAAGUUGUUGCAGUUAAAAAGCUCGUAGUUGGAUUUCGGAGUCGGGCGACCGGUCCGCCGUUUCGGUGUGCACUGGUCCGACCCGUCUUUUUCUGUCGGGGACGCGCGCUCCUUCAUUGGGGACGCGGAGUCGGCGCUGUUACUUUGAAAAAAUUAGAGUGUUCAAGGCAGGCUUACGCUCUGAAUACUAUAGCAUGGAAUAACGCGAUAGGACUCCGGGCCUAUUUCGUUGGUCUUCGGGACCGGAGUAAUGAUUAAGAGGGACAGUUGGGGGCAUUUGUAUUCCGGUGUCAGAGGUGAAAUUCUUGGAUUUCCGGAAGACAAACUUCUGCGAAAGCAUUUGCCAAGGAUGUUUUCA